AGAGUGUGGGCUGUGAUAGAAAACAUCUCACAGAGAUGAGACCCAACAGUGUAUCUCUCUCCACCUGUGUCCCUAAAAUGUCCUACACAACAACAUCCAGUGUCCUCCCAGCUGGCUUCGCUGUGGUUGAGAGAAAGAGGUCCCAGUUCCAAAGUGAGAGAAUCUAGAACAAGGUCGCAGAGCAUGGCAGAUGCAAAAUAUCCCAUCGAAGAGCCCCACGUGCCCUGGGGCCUGCGGCUCUGCUCUGGGAGUGCUCUGCCCCCUUCGGUGGCAGACACUGUAACCCUCCAAGACUAGAGAAGAGGCUGAGCUCAUUUACUGGGUGUUCCGGA